rnacentral:rRNA from 1 species
GGAAGUAAAAGGUUGUAACAAGGUUUCCGUAGGUGAACCUGCGGAAGGAUCAUUACCGAGUGCGGGCCCCUCGGGGCCCAACCUCCCACCCGUGUUGCCCGAACCUAUGUUGCCUCGGCGGGCCCCGCGCCCGCCGACGGCCCCCCUGAACGCUGUCUGAAGUUGCAGUCUGAGACCUAUAACGAAAUUAGUUAAAACUUUCAACAACGGAUCUCUUGGUUCCGGCAUCGAUGAAGAACGCAGCGAAAUGCGAUAACUAAUGUGAAUUGCAGAAUUCAGUGAAUCAUCGAGUCUUUGAACGCACAUUGCGCCCUCUGGUAUUCCGGAGGGCAUGCCUGUCCGAGCGUCAUUGCUGCCCUCAAGCCCGGCUUGUGUGUUGGGCCCCGUCCCCCCCGCCGGGGGGGACGGGCCCGAAAGGCAGCGGCGGCACCGCGUCCGGUCCUCGAGCGUAUGGGGCUUCGUCACCCGCUCUAGUAGGCCCGGCCGGCGCCAGCCGACCCCCAACCUUUAAUUAUCUCAGGUUGACCUCGGAUCAGGUAGGGAUACCCGCUGAACUUAAGCAUAUCAAUUAAGCGGAGGA